rnacentral:SRP_RNA from 1 species
CCUCGGGGGUCAUGAACCUUGCGGGACUGCAGCUCGAUAACCUCGUUGCUGGGGAGGUAUGGACGACGCAGAUCGUGACGUCGA